CUUGGCUUGCGCAGGAUAGGUGGGAAGCGAAGAACUUCUCCUUGUGGGGGGAAGGGAGCUAACGGUGAGAUACCACUCUGGCGAAGCUAGAAUUCUAACUCAUCUCCGUGAGCCGGAGAGAGGACAGUUUCAGGUGGGCAGUUUGACUGGGGCGGUCGCCUCCUAAAAGGUAACGGAGGCGCGCAAAGGUUCUCUCAGCACGCUUGGAAACCGUGCGGCGAGUGUAAAGGCAAAAAGAGAGCUUGACUGUAAGACCGACAAGUCGAACAGGUACGAAAGUAGGCCUUAGUGAUCCGACGGCGCAGCAUGGAAUGGCCGUCGCUCAACGGAUAAAAGUUACUCUAGGG
rnacentral:rRNA from 1 species